GGGGGGUGCAAGCGUUGUUCGGAAUCAUUGGGCGUAAAGAGCGUGUAGGCGGCUGGAUAAGUCAGAUGUGAAAGCCCUGGGCUUAACCCAGGAAGUGCAUUUGAAACUGUCCAGCUAGAGUAAGGGAGAGGAAAGUGGAAUUCCUGGUGUAGAGGUGAAAUUCGUAGAUAUCAGGAGGAACACCGGUGGCGAAGGCGACUUUCUGGCCCUAUACUGACGCUGAGACGCGAGAGCGUGGGUAGCAAACAGGAUUAGAUACCCUGGUAGUCCACGCCCUAAACGAUGACAACUAGAUGUCGGGAGGGUUUGCCUUCCGGUGUCGUAGCUAACGCGUUAAGUUGUCCGCCUGGGAAGUACGGCCGCAAGGUUG
rnacentral:rRNA from 1 species